rnacentral:rRNA from 1 species
GGCGGCACGCCUAACACAUGCAAGUCGAACGAAGUAGCAAUACUUAGUGGCAGACGGGUGAGUAACAUGUAGGUAUCUGCCCUUUGGCCUGGAAUAACACGAGGAAACUUGUGCUAAUACCGGAUAAGUCUUUACGGAGAAAGCUUUAAGCACCAUUGGAUGAGCCUGCACUUGAUUAGUUUGUUGGUGGGGUAAUGGCCUACCAAGACUGUGAUCAAUAGCUGAUUUGAGAGGAUGAUCAGCCACAUUGGGACUGAGACACGGCCCAAACUCCUACGGGAGGCAGCAGUGGGGAAUCUUGCACAAUGGAGGAAACUCUGAUGCAGCGAUGCCGCGUGAGUGAAGAAGGCCCUUGGGUUGUAAAGCUCUUUCGUCGGGGAAGAAAAUGACUGUACCCGAAUAAGAAGGUCCGGCUAACUUCGUGCCAGCAGCCGCGGUAAUACGAAGGGACCUAGCGUAGUUCGGAAUUACUGGGCUUAAAGAGUUCGUAGGUGGUUGAAAAAGUUAGUGGUGAAAUCCCAGAGCUUAACUCUGGAACUGCCAUUAAAACUUUUCAGCUAGAGUAUGAUAGAGGAAAGCAGAAUUUCUAGUGUAGAGGUGAAAUUCGUAGAUAUUAGAAAGAAUACCAAUUGCGAAGGCAGCUUUCUGGAUCAUUACUGACACUGAGGAACGAAAGCAUGGGUAGCGAAGAGGAUUAGAUACCCUCGUAGUCCAUGCCGUAAACGAUGUGUGUUAGACGUUGGAAAUUUAUUUUCAGUGUCGCAGGGAAACCGAUAAACACACCGCCUGGGGAGUA